AUGGUCCCGACUUUAUGGGGUCUUCAUGUCAACAUUUUAAUCCAAGAUCAUCUUCUUCCGUUACCGUCCAUUUUCAGGUUUAUUCUUCAUCAUCUCUAUUUUUCGCUUUAUUCUGCAAUAGUUGGUCCCUUCAAAUUCGAUUUGAAGCAGCAAAAUGAAAGAGGCGGUGGUUCUGUAUCCCCUGAUGCAGUGGGGACACCUGGUUCCCAUGGUAGAGUUAAGCAAGCUCAUACUAUCUCUCCAACCUUCACUUGCGACCACCAUCCUCCUUCCUUCACCACCCAACCCCUCCACCGCCGAUUACAUGGCCGCGGUCUCCGCCGCCAUUGAUCCUCACAUCGUCUUCCAACAACUCCCUCCAGUGUCUCUACCUCCCUCUGCGCCUAACCAUGAAACCCUCAUGUUCGAGCUUCUUCGCCUCAACACCCCCAAUCUCCACCAAGCUCUCGUUUCCAUUUCCAAAACUCAUGCCAUCAUCGCACUUAUUGCAGAUUUCUUUGCUUUGGAAGCUUUAUCGGUUUCUUCUCAACUCAACAUCCGUACCUUUUGCUUCUUCACCACCUGCGCCGGCAACCUCGCCUCGUUCCUCUACCUCCCUACCCUCCACCGGACCACCGAUAAGAGCCUCAAAGAAAUCGAUGCCCCUCUUAACAUCCCCGGUCUUCCACCGAUUACUGGCAGGGACAUGCCUGAACCAUUGCUUGAACGAAAUGAUUUUGCUUACGAAGGAUUUCUGAAAUGCUCUGUUCUUGCCCGCAAAACAGCUGGUAUUAUUGUCAACACAUUUGAAGCCUUGGAACACAAGUGCCUCGGUGCAAUUUACGAUGGGUUUUGUGUAUCGGAUGGUCCAACACCGCCCAUCUAUCCGGUAGGUCCUUUGAUUGAUUAUGAUAAAGGAGAAGCAUCAGAACACGAAUGUUUGAGGUGGUUAGAUUCACAGCCUGACAGAAGCGUCGUGUUCUUGUGUUUUGGGAGUUUGGGGUUGUUUUGUGGAGAGCAAUUACAUGAAAUAGCUUGUGGAUUAGAGAGGAGUGGCCAAAGAUUCUUGUGGGUAGUGCGGAAUCCACCGUCGGAGAAAACCCAGAAUAUCGCCUUAUCGUCGCAGGUGGAUCCAGAUCUGGAUUUCUUGCUGCCGGAAGGUUUUAUGGAUCGGACCAGGGAAAGAGGGAUGGUAGUGAAGAAGUGGGCCCCACAGGUUGAGGUUUUGAAUCACAGGUCGGUGGGUGGGUUCGUGACCCAUUGCGGGUGGAACUCAGUGUUGGAGGCGGUGCUCGCUGCCGUCCCGAUGGUGGCGUGGCCUUUGUACGCGGAGCAGAGGUUCAAUAGGGUGGUUAUGGUGGAGGAAAUGAAGAUUGCCUUGUGGAUGCGCAAGUCGUUGUCGUCGGAAGGUCGGUUGGUUGAGGCGGGGGAGGUGGCAGAGCGAGUCACUGAGUUGAUGGAAUCGGAGAGAGGUGAGUCGGUGAGGAAGCGAGUUGAGGCUGCGAGGGGUGAAGCAGAAGCUGCGUUGAGGCAAGGAGGGACUUCUCGUGUUGCAUUGGCCAGACUCACCGAUUCUUGGAGGGGCGCUUAGAUAGUGACUGGUAACACAUGUGCACUUGGACUUGUAUCAAUUGGUCAAGGAAGUGCAAGAGGGGCAUUUUGGGCAUAAGUUGUAACAUCCUGAUUUUUAUAUAAUAAAGAAAUUAUGGAAUUUAGAUUUUGAGGAAAAAAAAUGAUAAUAAUAGGAAUUUAUAUUAUUUGAGGUUAUUUAGAAAUAAUAUUAUGGUUAGGUAUUUAAUUAUAAAUUUAAAAAUUUAAAUUUAAAAUCACAUAAGCAAUAUUUAGUUAAGAUAUAAUACAUAAAUAAUUUUUUAUUGUGUGUAAAAAAAAAGAGAAGGUAGAAGGAACAAAAAAAAGGGGUGGAAGGUUGUUGUUUCUAAGUUCCACAUUGGUUAGAUGAGGGAAGAGAAGAGGUGCCUUCAUGUAUAAAAAGGAGGGGGUGUGUGCAUUAGGAAGCAUGAGAGGCUAAGAUGCAAUUUAGAGAAAAUUGCAACUUUUGACCCAAAGGUUUGAAUAAUUAAAUUCGAACCUAUAGUUUUUUUUAAUAUAAUUUUGGGACCACAAUUCCAUUUUUAUAUUAUUUUUCUCUCUUUCUCUCACGUUGCUCGGCGUUUUUCUCGCGAGGGGGGAUUAUUUUCUUUUUCUUCAGAUUGUGUUGACAAAGAUAGUGGUGAAAGAGGAGUUGUGAAGGGGAACUUGUUAUUCAAGACACAAGGAGCGAGUCCGGCCGAGAAAGCACCAGAGGUGUAACUAUGGUGUAUGAAAUACCAUCUUUUACGUUGCCUCUUAUUUUGGAUUAUACAAUGUAUCUUGUGCUAACUUAAGACAUAUCUUCUUUGUGAAGCAUGUAAACUCUAAUCCUUUUUAUUAAAAGUAUUUAUUUGACCAA